GUGAAUCAUCAAAUCUUUGAACGCAAACUGCACUCUCCGGUUUUCCGGGAGAGUAUGCCUGUUUGAGGGUCAGCCUAAAAAAAAUCGACAUUGUUGCUGUUAUUUAAUGGUGACUUUCGUCGGAGAUUGGGUUAUCUUAAACCUUUUUUUUUUUUGUUUUAAGGGAUUAAAAUUUUUUUUUACGGUUUCCUUUACUUUUUUUAAGUUUUUUUUUUCUUAUCGUUU
rnacentral:misc_RNA from 1 species